rnacentral:rRNA from 1 species
UACGUAGGUGGCAAGCGUUAUCCGGAAUUAUUGGGCGUAAAGAGCUUGUAGGCGGUUUGUCGCGUCUGCUGUGAAAAUCCGAGGCUCAACCCCGGACUUGCAGUGGGUACGGGCAGACUAGAGUGUGGUAGGGGAGACUGGAAUUCCUGGUGUAGCGGUGAAAUGCGCAGAUAUCAGGAGGAACACCGAUGGCGAAGGCAGGUCUCUGGGCCACUACUGACGCUGAGAAGCGAAAGCAUGGGGAGCGAACAGGAUUAGA